rnacentral:tRNA from 1 species
GCGGAGGUAGCUCAGUUGGUAGAGCGCGACCUUGCCAAGGUCGAGGCCGCGGGUUCGAGGCCCGUUCUCCGCUCCA